AACGAACGCUGGCGGCAGGCUUAACACAUGCAAGUCGAACGCAUCGCAAGAUGAGUGGCAGACGGGUGAGUAACGCGUGGGAACAUACCCUUUUCUACGGAAUAGCUCUGGGAAACUGGAAUUAAUACCGUAUACGCCCUACGGGGGAAAGAUUUAUCGGGGAAGGAUUGGCCCGCGUUAGAUUAGCUAGUUGGUGGGGUAAAGGCCUACCAAGGCGACGAUCCAUAGCUGGUCUGGGAGGAUGAUCAGCCACAUUGGGACUGAGACACGGCCCAAACUCCUACGGGAGGCAGCAGUGGGGAAUAUUGGACAAUGGGCGCAAGCCUGAUCCAGCCAUGCCGCGUGAGUGAUGAAGGCCUUAGGGUUGUAAAGCUCUUUCACCGAUGAAGAUAAUGACGGUAGUCGGAGAAGAAGCCCCGGCUAACUUCGUGCCAGCCGCCGCGGUAAUAC
rnacentral:rRNA from 1 species